ACAGAGGGUGCGAGCGUUGUCCGGAAUCACUGGGCGUAAAGGGCGCGUAGGUGGCCCGACCAGUCACUGGUGAAAGCUCGACGCUCAACGUCGAGUCGGCCAGUGAUACUGUUGGGCUGGAGCACUGUAGAGGCAGAUGGAAUUCCGGGUGUAGCGGUGGAAUGCGUAGAGAUCCGGAAGAACACCGGUGGCGAAGGCGGUCUGCUGGGCAGUAGCUGACACUGAGGCGCGACAGCGUGGGGAGCAAACAGGA
rnacentral:rRNA from 1 species